rnacentral:rRNA from 1 species
AACGAACGCUGGCGGCAUGCCUAACACAUGCAAGUCGAACGAGACCUUCGGGUCUAGUGGCGCACGGGUGCGUAACCCGUGGGAACCUGCCCUUAGGUUCGGACUAACUCCCCGAAAGGGGUGCUAAUACCGGAUAAUGUCUUCGGACCAAUGAUUUAUCGCCUUUGGAUGGGCCCGCGUUGGAUUAGCUAGUUGGUAGGGUAAAAGCCUACCAAGGCGACGAUCCAUAGCUGGUCUGAGAGGAUGAUCAGCCACACUGGGACUGAGACACGGCCCAGACUCCUACGGGAGGCAGCAGUGGGGAAUAUUGGACAAUGGGCGAAAGCCUGAGCCAGCAAGGCCGCGUGAGUGAUGAAGGCCUUAGGGUUGUAAAGCUCUUUUACCCGGGAUGAUAAUGACAGUACCGGGAGAAUAAGCUCCGGCUAACUCCGUG